rnacentral:rRNA from 1 species
UACGAGGGGGGCAAAUGUUGUUCGGAAUCACUGGGCGUAAAGGGAGCGUAGGCGGGUUUCUAAGUCAGGUGUUUAAUCCCGGGGCUCAACCCCGGACAGGCACUUGAAACUGGGAAUCUUGAAUAGUGGAGAGGUCAGUGGAAUUGGGGGUGUAGCGGUGGAAUGCGUAGAGAUCCCCAAGAACACCAGUUGCGAAGGCGGCUGACUGGACACAUAUUGACGCUGAGGCUCGAAAGCAUGGGGAGCAAACAGG